UACGGGCGGCAGCAGUGAGGAAUAUUGGUCAAUGGCCGUAAGGCUGAACCAGCCAAGUAGCGUGAGGGAAGACUGCCCUAUGGGUUGUAAACCUCUUUUAUGCGGGGAUAAAGGUGUCCACGUGUGGAUGUUUGCAGGUACCGCAUGAAUAAGGACCGGCUAAUUCCGUGCCAGCAGCCGCGGUAAUACGGAAGGUCCGGGCGUUAUCCGGAUUUAUUGGGUUUAAAGGGAGCGUAGAUGGGUUGUUAAGUCAGUUGUGAAAGUUUGCGGCUCAACCGUAAAAUUGCAAUUGAUACUGGCAGCCUUGAGUACAGUUGAGGUAGGCGGAAUUCGUGGUGUAGCGGUGAAAUGCUUAGAUAUCACGAAGAACUCCGAUUGCGAAGGCAGCCUACUAAACUGCCACUGACAUUGAUGCUCGAAAGUGUGGGUAUCAAACAGGAUUAGAUACCCCUGUAGUC
rnacentral:rRNA from 1 species